AAUCAUGGUUUUGAAUACACCCUUAGCCAAAACAAAAUUAGCCAAUCAUACUUAAAGAAAAACAAAGAUUACAUGAAUUAGACAUUAAAAUCCAAAGAAAGAAAACACCUAGAAUGCUCUAACUUGGCAGCAAGUGCAUCCAAGAUUUCUCCUUUCCCUUGCUUGCGGCAGAUUGGUUUGUGGACAGGUUUUGGGUAGUUUUAUGGUGUAGAAUGGAUGGGGAAUGGUAUGGAAAGGUUUAGGGUGAGUGUGGAGGAGUGUUUGAUGGUUGGAGGGUGGUGGAGAACUCGGCAAAGAGGGUGGAAGAAGGUGGAGUGGCUGUUAUGUUUUCUGGGCACUAAAAUGGUGUUUUUGGGGUGUUUUGCUGCCUAGGGUGUGUAUGGACGAAUUUUCUGUGAUGAAUGAUGAAUAUGGAAGGUCAUCCCUUGGCCAAGGGGUGUAAACAAGUAUAUAUAGGCCCCAAAGACCCUAGAGAAUCAGGUUAGGCAAUGAAGGAAAUGCACAGCAAUGAGGGUGAAUUUGUGGUGUGCAAUGGUCCAAGGAUGAAAAUGAAGCAAUGAUUCAAAGUAUGGAGGGUAAAAUGGAGUGGUGUUGCAGCUAGGGAGCAUGAAUGAUUGUGCACAUUGAAUAGAAAUGAAAAGGGAGGUGAAAUGUUUCAGAAAUGAGUCAAAGGUGCAGCCACAUGUGUUGCACACGGCAUGGGAUUCCAAAGGUGGCUGAUGGAGCAUCAAUUGGUGCAUGUAAUGGUUGUGAAAGUUGUAUGAAAUCUGAUGGGUGAAGGGAACAAGAAGUAUGCAGCAAUUGAGUGUAAUAAUUAAAUGUAUUGAGGCAUGAAAUCAGAAAUAAUGUAAGGGACAAGGGUGAUUAAGCAUGGCAUGGGAAUCCAAAGGGAAUACAAUGGUGUUUGCACGGCAAGGAGGGUGAAUUUUGGAGUGACACCCUAUUGUGGCUGAGUUCUUUAUCCUUUGUACAAUAAUUCUUCACAUUCUUAGCCUCUUUAGUCUUCAAUUUCGUCCAUCCACCUUGCUCCAUGCAUUUGCUAUCCAUCCAAACCCGAAACUGCUCCAAAGGCCUCCAAAAUGCAUCUUCUUGCAUACUUUGUCCUUAGAAUCUGAAAACACACAAAAAUGACUUUAAACACUAAAAUAACCAAGAAAACACAACGUAAAUGCUCAAGAACAAGCUAACUAAGUCGCAUAAAUAUGCUCCUAUCAAAUUCCCCCACACUUAGCUUUUGUUAGUCCUCGAGCAAAACAAAAUAACUAAACAAAACAAAACCAACAAAACGAACAAAACCCAACCUAAACCUUCCAACGUUUGCCUCAGGGAUUUCCAAUGCACAUGACAUGUUAAAAAUUGUCAUCCCCACAGAUUUUAGUUGUCUUCACACUUAAGCACAUACUUAAUCAUAGUCACCACUUACUAGUUCACAUUUAAGCAAUUAAAACAAUGUUUUGAAUGUAGUAACAUGCCUUAGAGAAUUUGCUCAAGUCCUUACAAGAUAUUCACUCAAUUUUCACUCAGAUUUUCUAACUACACACCCUAUACUAGUUAUAUGUGAGAAGAUUGAUGUAAACAUGAAAACGAACGCUCACAUAUAUGUAUUACAAAGAAAGUGAUUUCUGGAGCAUGUUUAGAUAUGAUCUCAUGAAUGGAAUGCUACUACUUAGAUGCGAGAACCAGUGACACCAUAUGCUCAUACCAAAUUCAAACUCCACAAAUUGAAACACAUAACACUCAAGAUUGAAGUCAAAGGUUGUAACGGGGCUUGGGGUGUUGGCUAACAAAUGAAAGCAAGGGAAAACAAAUGUUCUUAAAGCACUAGCAAAUAAAGUAAUGAACUUCAACU
rnacentral:lncRNA from 1 species